GCGGGAGUAGCUCAGAGGUAGAGCGGGGCGCCUUCAGCAGCGCCCAUGUCGCGGGUUCGAUUCCCGCCUCUCGCG
rnacentral:tRNA from 1 species